ACCUAGCCCCGAUUGCAGAGAAAAUCCUUUUUUGAAAAAAAAGAUUGUAACGGAAAGCGGGAAUAGCU
rnacentral:sRNA from 1 species